CUGAUGUCUAUGGAGGACUGGUAUAAAUAGAAAGGACCGUAACGAAAGUAAGAUCCACCUCUUGUCAAGCGUCGGAAAAAUACACAAGACAAAUAAGUAGCUAAAUUGUCUUCUGGUAUCAUUUGUCUUUAGCAGAACUUCAUAAAGAUUUUAAUUUAUCUUGAUGAAAUACUCUUUUUAAGGGGGGAGGGGUUGACAGAGCCAUUUAAAUUACAAUUCAUAUGGA